CCUACGGGUGACAGCAGUGAGGAAUAUUGGUCAAUGGACGCAAGUCUGAACCAGCCAUGCCGCGUGCAGGAAGACGGCUCUAUGAGUUGUAAACUGCUUUUGUACGAGGGUAAAUCCCGAGACGUGUAUCGUGGUGAAAGUAUCGUACGAAUAAGGAUCGGCUAACUCCGUGCCAGCAGCCGCGGUAAUACGGAGGGUUCAAGCGUUAUCCGGAUUUAUUGGGUUGAAAGGGAGCGUAGGCGGUUCGAUAAGUCAGAGGUGAAAUCCCGGGGCUCGACUCCGGCACUGCCUUUGAUACUGGCAGGCUAGAGUUUAGUAGAGGUAGGCGGAAUGUAUGGUGUAGCGGUGAAAUGCAUAGAGAUCA
rnacentral:rRNA from 1 species